rnacentral:rRNA from 1 species
UACGGAGGAUGCAAGCGUUAUCCGGAAUGAUUGGGCGUAAAGCGUCCGCAGGUGGCUAUGUAAGUCUGCUGUUAAAGAGUCUAGCUCAACUAGAUAGAGGCGGUAGAAACUACAUUUGCUAGAGUACGUUCGGGGCAGAGGGAAUUCCUGGUGUAGCGGUGAAAUGCGUAGAUAUCAGGAAGAACACCAGUGGCGAAGGCGCUCUGCUAGGCCGUAACUGACACUGAGGGACGAAAGCUAGGGGA